GACAGAGGGUGCAAGCGUUGUUCGGAAUUAUUGGGCGUAAAGCGCACGUAGGUGGCGAGGUAAGUUGGGUGUGAAAGCCCUGGGCUUAACCCAGGAAGUGCACUCAAAACUGCUUUGCUUGAGUACCGGAGAGGGUGGUGGAAUUCCUGGUGUAGAGGUGAAAUUCGUAGAUAUCAGGAGGAACACCGGUGGCGAAGGCGACCACCUGGACGGUCACUGACACUGAGGUGCGAAAGCGUGGGUAGCAAACAGG
rnacentral:rRNA from 1 species